GGUCGGCGACUGAUCCCCAGAGCCUCUAUGCAAGGGUAAAUACUUGGAUUUCAUUUGAAACCUAUGGUGCAAUAAUCCUGCUGCGAACUUUUUGGGGUUCUGAUGUCGUUGCCACUUCAAUAAUUUCAACAGAAAAGGAGAGAAAGAAUCAAUAAGAGAUUAAGGAUCCUGCAGAACUUGGUUCCCAAUGGGACCAAAGUAGACAUUAGCACAAUGCUUGAAGAAGCAGUUCAAUAUGUGAAGUUUCUCCAACUCCAAAUUAAGCUUUUGAGCUCGGACGAGCUGUGGAUGUAUGCUCCCAUCGCUUACAAUGGGAUUAACAUUGGACUUUGAUCUAAC